GGUUGCGCGGGUUGCAUGUCUGUUCAUGCGCGUCUUCGGUGGUGUUGACGCCGGCUCUGUGCACGAAGUGGCGCUUGGAGGUCGGAAUAUUCAUGGAGCUGCGGACACGGACAACGGGCGCCAGUUAACGAAUCCCGGAUCACUUCUCCCGCCUCUUCACUCCAGUUGACCUCCACACUCGGGGAAACAAAGGUGCCGCUGUGGUCUGGCGCCUCCCCGCUCGUGAUGGGACAAUCAACAGCGGCGUUCGCCCUAUCAACGAGGCAGUCGGUCCUACAUUUCCUUUGGUUGGACAAGACGACGUAGGAAAAGAGAUACCGUUUUUCAGGGUGCUCGCGCUGAACAGGAGCGAAAACCUAGGAAGCCCGAAAUCUGAUGCCUCCAGCCGUCACCACCUUUUCAUUUAUUCUUAAUCAUAAGGAAUAAAUAUGGAAACAUGAUGCCGA
rnacentral:lncRNA from 1 species